UUGCCAGCAGUUUUUGCAGGUCCUUUUCAGACUGAAGAAAGAGAAUCCUCAAUGAGGCCCGAAAACUAGUUCCAGGCGCGGACGGGAAUCCCACCACCAACCAGGCUCAGAUAGAUGCCUCCUUCCCCUUAACUUGGCCCAAGUGGGAUUUCAACAUGGCAGAAGAGGGCUCCAGAAGGCACACGAGGACAUUUGGCUGCGCCUCCAUACCAUCUACAAGGCUGGCCCGACCCUGAUACCUCAUCAAUACAGGCCAGGAGACUGGGUCUACAUCAAGAGACACCACCGAGAGACCCUCGAGCCAUGCUGGAAGAGACCCUACAUUGUGGUGCUGACAACCCCCACCACUCCCAAAGUAGACGGCAUCGCGACCUGGGUCCAUCACACCCACGUUCGGCCAGCGGAUCCCUCCUCGAUCCGGAAGGACUUUGCAACACAAUGGGCCAUCAAUCAGGACCAACACAACCCGCUCAAGGUCAAGUUACAGUGCAUUCGACCCACCUGAUAUUGGUAACUCUGUUAACUCUGCUUGUCAUUGCUCAUGCUGCCGGGAGUCCCCACGCCCCCCCCAAAACAUUACCUGGCAGAUCAUAGACACCAGCUCAGGGACCGCGUGGGGGCCGUCCAACUAAUGGUCCUCUGUGCUCAGUACAAGCCCCUAAUAACAGAAGAGGACAAAAUAGAAAUGCAGCCAGUCCCAUGAUUGGGUCCGCAAGCUACAUGACAAGGGGGGAAUGAAAGAGCAGACCUAGGCUGGCUGACUCCACCUUGUUCUGUGUCCUCCAUCUUGAGUGUGUCCCUGACAUGGCCCCAGAAAGAAAUUCCCGCUCAAACCUCAGACCACGCCUCCUCCCUGAGUAACUUCCCAAUCAAACCAUGCCCUGCAACCUGCCUAACAUGACUCUGACCCUUCCCCAGCCAAUUGGCUAAGGCCACAACCAUUACCUCCCUGACUGCCCCUAGACCCCUAUAAAACCUUUGUGCUUUUGAAACUCGCUCUGUCUCUCCGGCAUCUCACCGCUGUGUCGGUGCAGGUAGGGGAUGGAGCUCGGGCUAGCUUGAAUAAAGGCUCUUUGCUUUUGCA